UACGUAGGGUGCGAGCGUUAAUCGGAAUUACUGGGCGUAAAGCGUGCGUAGGCGGCUGUGCAAGACAGAUGUGAAAUCCCCGGGCUUAACCUGGGAACUGCAUUUGUGACUGCAUGGCAAGAGUGUGUCAGAGGGAGGUGGAAUUCCGCGUGUAGCAGUGAAAUGCGUAGAGAUGCGGAGGAACACCGAUGGCGAAGGCAGCCUCCUGGGAUAACACUGACGCUCAGGCACGAAAGCGUGGGGAGCAAA
rnacentral:rRNA from 1 species